UUGCCUUAGUAACGGCGAGUGAAGCGGCAAAAGCUCAAAUUUGAAAUCUGGCACCUUUGGUGUCCGAGUUGUAAUUUGAAGAAAGUAACUUUUGGAAUAAGCCUUGCAUAAGUUCCUUGGAACAGGACGUCAUAGAGGGUGAGAAUCCCGUAUAUGGUGGGGUAUUUAUUUCAAUGUAAAGUGCUUUCGAAGAGUCGAGUUGUUUGGGAAUGCAGCUCUAAGUGGGUGGUAAAUUCCAUCUAAAGCUAAAUAUUGGCGAGAGACCGAUAGCGAACAAGUACAGUGAUGGAAAGAUGAAAAGAACUUUGAAAAGAGAGUGAAAAAGUACGUGAAAUUGUUGAAAGGGAAGGGCUUGAAAUCAGACUUGGUAUUCAGUGAUCAGCAAUCUCUCGGGGUUGUGCACUUGCUGUUUACUGGGCCAGCAUCGGUUUUGACGGUGAGAUAAUAGCACUUGAAUGUGGCUCUCUUCGGGGAGUGUUUAUAGCUUGUGUUGAUAUCAUCAGUCGGGAUCGAGGACCGCGCAUUUU
rnacentral:rRNA from 1 species